rnacentral:rRNA from 1 species
AUUGAACGCUGGCGGAAUGCUUUACACAUGCAAGUCGAGCGGCAGCGCGGGGGCAACCCUGGCGGCGAGCGGCGAACGGGUGAGUAACAUAUCGGAACGUACCCUGUCGUGGGGGAUAACACAGCGAAAGCUGUGCUAAUACCGCAUACGACCUGGGGGUGAAAGCGGGGGAUCGCAAGACCUCGCGCGAUAGGAGCGGCCGAUAUCGGAUUAGCUUGUUGGUGAGGUAAAGGCUAACCAAGGCGACGAUCCGUAGCUGGUCUGAGAGGACGACCAGCCACACUGGAACUGAGACACGGUCCAGACUCCUACGGGAGGCAGCAGUGGGGAAUUUUGGACAAUGGGGGCAACCCUGAUCCAGCCAUUCCGCGUGAGUGAAGAAGGCCUUCGGGUUGUAAAGCUCUUUCGGCAGGAACGAAACGGCAGGCUCUAACAUAGCCUGUCAAUGACGGUACCUGAAGAAGAAGCACCGGCUAACUACGUGCCAGCAGCCGCCGUAAGAC